AAGAGACGUGCGUCCAUUUAUUUGUUCGAGAGAAUCUACUGGAAUUAGACGAAGUACACCUGCUGCGCGGCGAAUCUUCUCCUUUCAAUCAAGAGAAAUCUUUCCGAGGAUAAAUCUUUGUUGGAUAAUUACGCUCGGCACAAAUCCUUAUUUGAAAUUUGCCUAUUUUCAACUCAAGAAGUUGUCCGAUUUGGUUUUGGCUCCGCCGAGCAGGAUGCGUUUUUAGCCCUAACUAGCUGCUUGCUCCGAUUUCUGCGCAGCAAUAAGGGGAUUAAUUCAUACGAGCAGAGAGGAAAUUCGUGUGGGCGAGAUAAUUGCCAGCUUGUGUCAACCCGAUGGCGUAAUUGAGCAACAGCCUUAAUAAUCAUAAUCACUGCCCACCAUACUACCUGACUGAGAAAUCGACUUUGCGUUUUUGACCUCAGGGAACUUCAACAAGUCGGCGGAGGUGUGCGCAUCAGAAGUCAGCAUUCAACGUGAGAGAACCUUUCCCUUUUGUUAACACUCGGAAAAAUUGAAGGUUUCGAAUAAAGUGAAAAAUUUGACUUCAGUUUUUAAGAAGAUCAAAGCAAGACAUUGAAAUUUUUCAAUUAUUUUAUGAUUGACUGACUUAAGAUACAGUGACAUCAUUUUGGUAAAACUGAGAUGUAAAACAAUCACUAAGAAUUACGAGACAAGCGCAAAAGUGACGUCAAAAUUAUGAGAGGAAGUUGUAAGUCACAGGAAUAAACAACAAUAAAAGUCGGUUGGACAGCAGCAGUUUGAAAUGACAUUGGGCGUGAUUGUGAGAAUGAAAUCGUGUGGCAGGUGAAAUUACAGAACUGCGUGUGGGUGUCGCCUUUUAUUCAGGUGGACUGCGCUGCCUACUCAACUUCAACUGACUAAGUUUUUCUGCAUACUAACAGCUUGGUCAAUUAAAAGGCACUUCCUUUUAUGGAUGGCGAUUACAGAUUUGUUUAAACUACAAGUUAGAAUUUCUUAA